ensembl:lncRNA
GUGUGUGAGUGUGUGAGUGUGUGAGUAAGCAUACACACAAGCCCAGUUUAGAAGAAGACAAGUACAGUCCUUUAAUACAGCCUUCUUUACAAUGAGACAAGGACAGUCCUUUAAUACAGCCUUCUUUACAAUGAGACAAGCACAGUCCUUUAAUACAGCCUUCUUUACAAUGAGAGAAUGAACAAACAAACUGAAUCGACAAACAUUUCAUAAUAAUACAGUUUGGCAGAUGGAGUGAGUGUGUGUGUGUGUGUGAGAGAGAGCAAGGGAGUGUGAGUGUGUGUGAGUGUGUGAGAGCAAGGGAGUGUGUUUGUGUGUGUGAGCAAGGGAGUGAGUGUGUCUGUGUGAUGUGAGUGAGAGUUAGUAUGUGUGUGUGUGUGUGUGUGUGUAUCCUGGAUAGCUGACAUGUUGACUGCAUGACAUUCUCUGAUGUAUGAGAUGUGUGUGGAUUCUGCUUGUGUGUGAGAUAUGUGUUUGGAUUGUGUGUGUGUGAGAUAUGUGUUUGGAUUGUGUGUGUGUGUGUGUGUGUGUGAUAUGUGUGUGGAUUGUGUGUGUGUGUGAUAUGUGUGUGGAUUGUGUGUGUGUGAUAUGCGUGUGUGUGUGGAGACUAAGGGUAAAAGCAUGCAGCACGCGAGCAUUAACUUUAAACAAACACCAUCGGAGGAGAGAGAACACACACACACACACACACUGGAGCCAAUGGAGACCAGCUAGAGUGAGGUGAGGCAAGGCAACACACACACACACACACACUCCUGCCGUACUGUCGGUAUACACAGCAGUAGUAGUAGUCUGUAACACACACACACACACACACACACUCAUCUCCUGCCAUACUGUUGAUAUACACAGCAGCAGUAGUAGUCUAUAACACACACACACACACACACACACACACACACACACACACACUCAUCUCCUGCCGUCCUGUCGGUAUACACAGCAGUAGUAGUAGUCUAUAACACAAAGAUUGCAAUAAAACACGAGAAACAAUAACAGCUCUAUGUUCCCAUUAUAAUCACACACACACAAACAAAUCAAAUAAAAAAAGAAUCACACACACACACAAACAAAUAAAAAAAAGAAUCACACACACACACACACACACACACACACAUAAUAGCAGCUCUAUGUGUGCUUCCACGGUAUCUGACCUGGCAGACACACGGGCUAUUCUGCAUUA